GACGAACGCUGGCGGCGUGCUUAACACAUGCAAGUGGAGCGACGAACCAGGGCUUGCCCUGGGGCAGAGCCGCGAACGGGUGAGUAACACGUGGGUAACGUGCCCCGAUGACCGGGACAACCCGAGGAAACUCGGGCUAAUACCGGAUGAGGACCUCUCACAUCAGUGAGUUGUCUAAAGGUAGCUUCGGCUUCCGCAUUGGGAGCGGCCCGCGGCCCAUUAGCUUGUUGGUGAGGUAACGGCUUACCAAGGCUUCGAUGGGUAGCUGGUCUGAGAGGACGAUCAGCCACACUGGGACUGAGACACGGCACAGACUCCUACGGGAGGCAGCAGUGGGGAAUCUUGCGCAAUGCGCGAAAGCGUGACGCAGCAGCGCCGCGUGGGGGAAGACGGCCUUCGGGUUGUAAACCCCUUUCAGGAGGGACGAAGGUCACACGGUUAAUAGCCGGCGUGACUGACGGUACCUCCAGAAGAAGCCCCGGCUAACUACGUGCCAGCAGCCGCGGUAA
rnacentral:rRNA from 1 species